rnacentral:rRNA from 1 species
CCUACGGGAGGCAGCAGUGGGGAAUAUUGCACAAUGGGGGAAACCCUGAUGCAGCGACGCCGCGUGAGUGAAGAAGUACUUCGUUAUGUAAAGCUCUAUCAGCAGGGAAGAAAAUGCCGGUACCUGCGUAAGAAGCCCCGGCUAACUACGUGCCAGCAGCCGCGGUAAUCCGUAGGGGGCACGCGUUAUCCGGAUUUACUGGGGGUAAAGGGAGCGUAGACGGGAGUGCAAGUCUGGAGUGAAAGGCCGGGGCUCAACCCCCGGACUGCUCUGGAAACUGUACGGCUGGAGUGCAGGAGAGGUAAGUGGAAUGCGUGGUGUAGCGGUGAAAUGCGUAGAUAUUAGUAGGAACACCAGUGGCGAAGGCGGCUUACUGGACUGUAACUGACGUUGAGGCUCGAAAGCGUGGGGAGCAAACAGGAGUAGAUACCCUGGUAGUC